rnacentral:rRNA from 1 species
GCCCUACCGAGCCAGCAACGGGUAACGGGGAAUUGGGGUUGGAUUCCGGAGAGGGAGCUUGAGAAACGGUUCCCCCAUUUAAGGAAGGCACCAGGCGCGCAAAUUACCCAAUCCUGACCCAGGGAGGUAGUGCCAAGAAAUACCAAUCCGGGGCAAUUGUUUUGUAAUGGGAAUGAUGGUGACGUAAAAUUUCACCAGAGUACCAAUUGGAGGGCAAGUUUGGUGCCAGCAGCCGCGGUAAUUCCAGUUCCAUUAGCGUAUAUUAAACUUGUUCCAGUUAAAAAGUUCUUAGUGAAAUUUAUGCGUUGCCCGACUCGCCUUCUUUCCUUGUCUGGGUUCUCUUUUGGGGUUUUUCCCUUUUUACUUUGAGAAAAUUAGAGUGUUUCAAGCAGACUUGUGUCUUGAAUACUUCAGCAUGGAAUAAUAAAGUAGGACUUUGGUUCUAUUUUGUUGGUUUGUGAACCUUAGUAA